GCGGUCGCGCCGCGUCCGACACUGUUGACGGGCGCAGUCGGGCGGCGGCAGUGUCGGCCGGCGCCGACAGUCGACAGCCGCCGGGUGCCGACAAGAGGAGACCGCCGGGCGCCAAGGCGUCACUCAGACUGCACAUCACCGAGCGGAAGAGUCGCCCCGGCAGUGCCCAGCCGGUGGGCGCCAGAGGCGCAGCCGAUGCGGUGGACAAGGGUCGGGGAAGGAGUCCGUCUCGGCCGCGGGCGGCGCUGUCACUGUGUCAGCAGCCAGGCACCGUGUCGCCAGCUGGCCCGGGCCCGCCCAAGGUCAGCCGGAGGCCACAGGAUGGCGCUCCAGCAGGGUCCGCAAAGGCAAGAGCCGCCUCCGCGGACUCCAACGGGUCGCGUGCCGGGCUCAGGCCCGUCGGCGCUGGCCCGGCUGCUGACACUGCGCCCCCGAAAGACGGCAGCAGAGCCGACGCGGUCGCGGCAGACGCAAAGAGCGUGGCAGAGGAAGCCGUCGUCGCCACCCAGAUGCCGGCGGCCGGCAGCCCGCAGG